UACGUAGGGCGCAAGCGUUGUCCGGAAUUAUUGGGCGUAAAGAGCUCGUAGGCGGCCUGUUACGUCUGCUGUGAAAUCCCGGGGCUUAACCCCGGGCGUGCAGUGGAUACGGGCAGGCUGGAGGCAGGCAGGGGAGAACGGAAUUCCACGUGUAGCGGUGAAAUGCGUAGAGAUGUGGAGGAACACCAGUGGCGAAGGCGACUCUUUGGUCUGUAACUGACGCUGAGGCGCGAAAGCGUGGGGAGCAAACAGG
rnacentral:rRNA from 1 species